UACGAAGGGGGCUAGCGUUGCUCGGAAUCACUGGGCGUAAAGCGCACGUAGGCGGGUUGCUAAGUCGGGGGUGAAAUCCUGGAGCUCAACUCCAGAACUGCCUUUGAUACUGGCGAUCUCGAGUCCGGGAGAGGUGAGUGGAACUGCGAGUGUAGAGGUGAAAUUCGUAGAUAUUCGCAAGAACACCAGUGGCGAAGGCGGCUCACUGGCCCGGUACUGACGCUGAGGUGCGAAAGCGUGGGGAGCAAACAGG
rnacentral:rRNA from 1 species